AUGUUUUGCUGUUGGCCCCAAGUGUUGAAGAUGGAGGAAGUGUUUCCGUCAAACUCCAAGAGCAAGGCUGGUCAGAUGGCGGGGGAGGCGACAGCGGCGGCGGAGAAGAAGCCUCGGCCAAAGCCAGAGCAGAAGGUGGAAUGCCCUCGGUGCAAGUCUGGCAACACCAAGUUCUGCUACUACAACAACUAUAGUAUGUCUCAGCCCCGCUACUUCUGCAAGGCCUGCCGCCGCUACUGGACCCAUGGUGGGUCCCUCCGUAACGUCCCCAUCGGUGGUGGCUGCCGCAAGCCCAAGCGCUCGGGGACCUCCGACGCCCACAAGCUCGGCGUGGCCUCCUCGUCGGAACACACGGCUGUCAUGCCCCCCUCGACCUGCACAGGGAUAAACUUUGCCAAUGUCCUCCCGACGUUUAUGUCUGCUGGUUUUGAGAUUCCAAGAAGCCUUUCCCUGACCACCUUUGGGUCAUCGUCGUCGUCCAACACGACGGCUGUGAUGUCCCCUGGUGGGACGACGUCCUUUCUAGACGUGCUGAGAGGGGGAACAGGAGGGCUUCUUGAUGGCAACCUCGGUCAGAACAAUGGCUACUACUAUGGUGGGUCUAGAUCAGGCAUUGGGAUGCUGAUGACGCCGCCAGCGGCGUCAUUUGGCAUUCCAGGUCCAAUGCAGCAGCAUGGCGAUCUCAUGGUUGGUGGAAAUGGAAUAGGUGCCGCAACUGCUUCAAUAUUUCAGGGGGGCACUGGUGAGGAAGGAGAUGACGGCAUAGGGGCCAUGAUGGGGCUCCAAUGGCAGCCACAUGUUGGUAAUGGUGGAGGUGGUGGUGUUGUAUCAGGAGGCGUGCAUCACCUUGGGACUGGGAACAAUGUGACGAUGGGCAACAACAACAUAAACAACAAUAACAAUAAUGGCAGCCACAGUGAUGACAACACUGGUGGGUCAUCGAGGGAUUGCUACUGGAUCAAUAAUGGAGGAUCGAACCCAUGGCAAAGCCUCCUCAAUAGCAGCUCCCUGAUGUAA
rnacentral:rRNA from 1 species